CCACUUACCUUGCAGGGAGAUACCAUGAUCAUGAAGGUGGUUCACCCAGGGCGCAGGCUCAGCCAUUGCACUCUCAGUUGUGUUGACCUGCAAGCACUCCCCAAAAUGUGGAACCUCACUGCAUAAUUUGUGGUGGUGGGGACUGCGCCCGCCUCCCCU